rnacentral:tRNA from 1 species
GGGCCCUUAGCUCAUCUGGUAGAGCGCUUCUAUGGCAUAGAAGAGGUGGUCGGUUCGAGUCCGAUAGGGUCCACAA